rnacentral:rRNA from 1 species
ACUCCUACGGGAGGCAGCAGUGGGGAAUUUUCCGCAAUGGGCGAAAGCCUGACGGAGCAAUACCGCGUGAGGGAGGAAGGCUCUUGGGUUGUAAACCUCUUUUGUUAGGGAAGACCAAAAUGACGGUACCUAAGGAAUAAGCAUCGGCUAACUCCGUGCCAGCAGCCGCGGUAAU